AGGUAUAAAAAGUUAUGAAUGGGACUAGGUUGAAAUGCAAAUUAAUCUUAACACAUGAAUGAGGUAUAAAAAGUUAUGAAAGGGACUUGGUUGGAAUGCAAACUAAUCUUAAGACAUGAAUGAGGUAUAAAAAGUUAUGAAAGGGACUUGGUUGAAAUGCAAACUAAUAUUAAGACAUGAAUGAGUUAUAAAAAGUUAUGAAAGGGACUUGCUUGAAAUGCAAACUAAUCUUAAGACAUGAAUGAGGUAUAAAAAGUUAUGAAAGGGACUUGGUUGAAAUGUAAACUAAUCUUAAGACAUGAAUGAGGUAUAAAAAGUUAUGAAAGGGACUUGGUUGAAAUACAAACUAAUCUUAAGACAUGAAUGAGGUGUGUAUAUUUUUGUUUGUCUUUCAUAUUUUCAUGGUUUUUUUAUUGAAUUACCA